AUUGAACGCUGGCGGCAGGCCUAACACAUGCAAGUCGAAAGAGUAGCGGACGGGUGAGUAAUGUCUGGGAAACUGGCUGAUGGCGGGGGAUAAAUACUGGACACUGUAGCUAAUACCGUAUAUCAUCUGAUGUGCCCCGAUGGGAUUAGCUUGUUGGUGGGGUAACGGCUCACAAAGGCGACGUUCCCUAGCUGGACUGAGAGGAUGACCAGCCACACUGGAACUGAGACACGGUCCAGACUCCUACGGGAGGCAGCAGUGGGGAAUAUUGCACAAUGGGCGCAAGCCUGAUGCAGCCAUGCCGCGUGUAUGAAGAAGGCCUUCGGGUUGUAAAGUACUUUCAGCGGGGAGGCGUUACCCGCAGAAGAAGCACCGGCUAACUCCGUGCCAGCAGCCGCGGUAAUUC
rnacentral:rRNA from 1 species